UACGGGGGGGGCAAGCGUUGUUCGGAAUUACUGGGCGUAAAGGGCUCGUAGGUGGCCAACUAAGUCAGACGUGAAAUCCCCAGGCUUAACCUGGGAACUGCGUCUGAUACUGGAUGGCUUGAAUUCGGGAGAGGGAUGCAGAAUUCCAGGUGUAGCGGUGAAAUGCGUAGAUAUCUGGAGGAAUACCGGUGGCGAAGGCGGGUCUCUGGGCCGAUACUGACGCUGAGGAGCGAAAGCGUGGGGAGCGAACAGG
rnacentral:rRNA from 1 species